UACGUAGGGUGCGAGCGUUAAUCGGAAUUACUGGGCGUAAAGCGUGCGUAGACGGUUAUGUAAGUCAGAUGUGAAAGCCCCGGGCUUAACCUGGGAAUGGCAUUUGAGACUGCAUAGCUAGGGUGCGGAAGAGGGAAGCGGAAUUUCCGGUGUAGCGGUGAAACUGCGUAGAUAUCGGAAGGAACACCAGUGGCGAAAGCGGCUUCCUGGUCCAGCACCGACGUCAGGCACGAAGCGUGGGGAGCAAACAGGA
rnacentral:rRNA from 1 species